GACGAACGCUGGCGGCGUGCUUAACACAUGCAAGUCGAACGGAAAGGCCCUGCUUUUGUGGGGUGCUCGAGUGGCGAACGGGUGAGUAACACGUGAGUAACCUGCCCUUGUCUUUGGGAUAACUUCAGGAAACUGGGGCUAAUACCGGAUAGAAGCUCCUGCUGCAUGGGGGGGGUUGGAAAGUUUCGGCGGUUGGGGAUGGACUCGCGGCUUAUCAGCUUGUUGGUGGGGUAGUGGCUUACAAAGGCUUUGAAGGGUAGCCGGCCUGAGAGGGUGACCGGCCACAUGGGGACUGAGAGAGGGAGCAGACGCGUACGGGAGGCAGCAGUGGGGAAUAUUACACAAUGGGCGGAAGCCUGAGGCAGCGACGCCGCGUGCGUGAUGACGGCUUACGGGGUGUAAACCGCUGUCGCAGGAGACGAAGCGGGAGUGACGGUAAUGGGUAAAAAAGCAACGGCUAACUACGUG
rnacentral:rRNA from 1 species